rnacentral:lncRNA from 1 species
CAUUCAGAUCCACGUCUUACAAACAUCAUAAAAGUCUUACAUAAAUGCAGCGGAAGAAAAGAAAGACAACAAGAGCUAAGCCUUGACUAAAACUGCAGCGGGAACACCACUCCACAGGCAUCCUCGACGGCACGGACAAAGCCUACUCCUCGGAGAAACCUUCAUCUGACCCGAACUCGAACUCUGGGGUUGGGAAAAGUAGAGCAAGACUGAGUACUACCCACUGUACUCAGCAAGUCAUACCGGAAUAGGGGUAUGAUGCACGGAAUUAUCAAAGAAGAGCUGAAGUGGUUCAUUUGCAUAAAGCGAGCAUUUAUAAACAGAAGUUGAAAGAUUUAAACAGUUGUAAUAAUUAAUUAAUGUUAACCAUCCGCUAUCCAACGCUAUCCCACGUUGCGACAGGCCCAGCCAUCCACCUGAACUAUCCAAUUUCAAAAGAUUACACUAGGGUGAGACUAAUCACGGUGAAUCUGGUCGACCGCCCAUAACCGCGGGCACGGCUAUUCGAAUAGUUUUACUCUGAUCAGAGGUGUAUAACUGUACCCACAAGACACAGCCCCACGACACGUUUCCGUGCGCCGACAUGCCACCACGACAUACCGGAAAGAGGCCGUGACAGGACCCUUCACAUAACCCCCUCUAGCCAAGCACACCACACCUCAGGUUUCACCCCCACUCCUCGCAAGGCAGCGGGCAGUCCCCUCUCGUGCCUAGGUGAAUCCGGAAGCGACAGAGGCCGUCGCAGGGCCCGCCCCGCUCCAUCACGCCCACCCUUGCCUGGAUGCGUCGACUAGAGGAAAGCUACACUACAAGCCUAGCCGUUGCCCACGCUGGCUUGUGGUAAGUACGAUAAGUUCUUCCAGGGCAUCCCGUGAACCGGUCCUUAACUGCCAUGGGUGCGACCAGCAAAACCAUGCACCCACAGCCCACCAUGUGAUUCAUUUUAAUUAACCAACACCAAAGCGGUGUCACUAACCCAACAAAACCAUUAGAACCAACAGUCUAAUCAUUAAUAGGAUUUUCCCCAAUGUGAACUAGUUGAACUAGGCAUGGCUAAGCAAUCCCUAGUCCUAACUCUAAUCAUGUUAGAACCCCAAGUUGACAAAGAAACAAGGUACAACAAUAGCAUGGCUACGGCAAUAGGUAAACAACCCAUAGUAACAUUGUAAAACAAUGCAAUAUUUAAAAGAAAACAAUAGAGCAUUUGCAAUAUAGGAUCAACAUGUUCAAGUGACAAGCAUGACUUGCCUUGCUCUGCUGCUGGAGGAACCUCGGCGACUAUUUCGAAGUACACCGGAGCGUCGGAGGAAUCGGAAUCUAGCGACAUACAAAGCAAACAUUGCAAACAGGCUAUAAGACUACUGAAACAGGGAACAAAACCAUUUUUAAUGGAUUCUACACAUUUUUCUUGAUUUACUGAGACUUGAAUGGGCUUAAACGGAGCUCGGAUGAAUUAGUUAUGAAUUUUAGAAGAUUCACUGUGUUUAUUACUAUAGCAAAAAUCCUUAAAUAAUUUAUUGCACAAUAUUAUCCAGGGCUGACGUCAGCACGGGGAAGCGCGGCGCUGACAUGCGGGGCCCACCGGUCAGCGGCUCGGGAGAGGGAGGAAAGGCGCCGGCACGCGGGACCCACCGGUCAGCGGCUCGGGAGAGGAGGGCAGGAGGGCGGCGACACGCGGCUCGGCUUGGCUCAAGGCCAACCGACCGGCCGCGGCGACGGCGGCGGCGCGCAUGCAAGCGCGUUGCUGGCAACGGCAACCGGCGGUGGAGGCGACGGCGCAAAAGGCGACGCGAAAGCGGCGGCAGCGGACGGCGGCCAUGACCGAAGGCGACGGCGAGCGCGGGCGGCGGCGACGCACGAGGAAACGGGGAAGGAAAGGAGAGGGGAGGGAGUCCUCACCGGGGAAAUGGCGGCGACCGGCGACGAGGAACGACGGAGGGAGGUCGACACGCGGCGGACGGCGACCGGGAUGACCUAGAGAACGAAAAGAAAAAGAUUAGAGAGGAAGAGAGGGGCCAUAGGAGAUGGGAAUGCCGGCCGAAGGCGGCGGACAUGGCAAACCUCACCGCCGCACGAUGGGGAAGGCGCUCCGGCGGCGGACCUCGACGAAGGAGGGAUGGACGGGGUGGAUCUCGGCCACGCGAACCCGACGGCGGCGACGGCGCGGUGCGGCGGCGACCCUAGCGGCGGCUAGCGGCGACCGGAGUAGCGGAAAAGGCGGCGGCAAGAGGUUGCACGGCGCGGGGGCGAUGGGAGGCUUGGGAGAGUUCGGCGAAAUGGGGAAAAAGCGAGAGGGGGCGACGGAGAAGCUUAAAUAGGGGGAGAGAGGACCGGACGUGGCCGGGAGAGGUGGGAAUCGCCGGCCGAUGUGGGGGAGUGGGGGAGGAGAGAGAGGCGGGAUUCGAAAUUCGAAUCCCGGCCAUCUCGGGCGCGGGCGCGAGCGGGAGAGAGAGAGGAGUGGGCGCGGGAGAUGCGGCGCACGCGCGGACGUGGCUGAUGUGGCCCGGAGAAGGCGGAGGCGUGGGCGCAGCGGCGGUUGCGGGCGCGGCGGCGCCGGCUGAAGGAAGGGGACGGGUCCGACAGGUGGGCCCCACCUGUCGGCGACGUCGGGAGAGGAGGGAGGCGGGCGGCCUGGCUGGGCCUCGGCCUGCGGCCGGCCCAGCAGGGAGGAUGGGGAGGAAAGGAGAGAAUGGGUCGGCGGCCCAUUCGAAAAAAGGAGGAAAAAGAAAGGAAAAAGAAAAAGAAAAAGGAAAAAGGAUUUUCCCUGGAAUUAAAAAUAUUGCUUGCUCAAUUUUAAUUGGUUAAAAUUAUUUCUAGGGCUCUGAAAAUUCCACUAAAAAUCCUGUUAGUGAAUUUCGACAUGUAGAACUCAAGAAAAAUUCCACAUGCCACUUCCGAUUAUUAUUUGCAUUGAUUUAAAAGGGUUUACUCUGGCUUUGCACCUGUAUUUUCUUGGGGUCAUUUAUAAAUUAAAUUUAGGCUUGGGAGGAGAACUUCGGGGUGUGACAAACCUACCCCCCUUAAACGGAAUAUCGGCCCCGAGAUUCGGAGGAGCUGGUGAAGAGGUGCGGAUGGGCGGCUUUCAACUCAUCUUCCCUUUCCCAGGUUGCUUCCUCUUCUGAAUGAUGACUCCACUGAACUCGGCAAAAUCGGGUGACCUUGUUUCUGGUUCUCCUUUCACUGGUAUCAAGUAUACGAACCGGCUUUUCCACGUAUGUUAGGUCCUCCUGGAUAUCAAUGUGUUCCGAAUCAGCCUGUUCUUCAGGUACUCUUAAGCACUUCUUUAAUUGGGACACGUGGAACACGUCAUGGAUGCCGAUCAUAUUGGAUGGAAGUUCUAACUGAUAAGCAACUUCCCCCCUUCGUUCCAGGAUUUUGUAUGGUCCCACGAAGCGUGGUGCCAACUUGCCUUUCAUCUGAAAACGGUGUACUCCCCGGAGCGGAGUGACACGAAGAUACACGUAAUCUCCUGCCUCAAAAGUGAGCUCCCUUCGACGGUUAUCCGCGUAGCUCUUCUGUCGAGACUGGGCAAUCCUCAACCUUUCCCUGAUGAUUCUAACUUUCUCUUCUGCUUCCGCUAAUACCUCUGUUCCGAACAGUUGACGCUCGCCUGUCUGAUCCCAGAAGAGAGGUGUGCGGCACUUCCGGCCGUAUAAAGCUUCAAACGGUGCCUUCUGUAGACUGGCCUGGUAGCUGUUGUUGUACGAGAAUUCCGCAUAUGGCAAGCUUUUGUCCCAAGCUCCACCAAAAUCAAGAGCGCAAGCUCUCAACAUGUCUUCCAAGAUUUGAUUGACUCGCUCGGUCUGACCAUCAGUUUGCGGGUGAUAGGCCGUGCUGAAAUUUAAACGGGUCCCCAAUUCUUCCUGCAGCUUCUGCCAGAAUUUUGAGGUGAACUGACUCCCUCGGUCAGAUACAAUCUUUUUGGGUACUCCAUGUAGGCACAUGAUUCUCGAAAGGUAAAGCUCCGCCAACCUUUUGCCCGUAUACGUGGUAUGUACUAGUAUGAAGUGAGCAACCUUAGUGAGUCGAUCCACGACUACCCAGAUCGAAUCGUGACCCGACGAUGUCCGGGGCAGUCCCGUUAUAAAGUCCAUUCCAAUCUCCUCCCAUUUCCAUUCCGGGAUUUGAAGAGGUUGGAGUAAACCUGCUGGUCUUUGGUGCUCUGCCUUCACUCGUUGGCAAACAUCGCAGAGUGCGACGAAUUCAGCUAUUUCUCUCCUCAUGCUGACCCACCAAAACUUUUCUUUGAGGUCUUGAUACAUUUUAGUGCUGCCUGGAUGAAUGGAGUACUGGGUCUGAUGAGCCUCGGUGAGUAUCAGAUCCUUCAGUUCCUUGUCGUCAGGUACACACAAUCUUUCUCCCAACCAGAUUGUGCCAUGCUCAUCUUCGUGGAAAUCCCGGGCUUUUCCGACUCUCAUGUUCUUUUUCAGCUCUGCUAUUUCAGAAUCAUUUACUUGAGCUGCUCUGACUUGAUCCACGAGCGUAGGCCGUGCCUCCAGAGCGGCCACAAACCCGUGUUCAACAAUUCCCACGUUGAGAUGCUCAAACUCCUACCGCAAUUCCUCACACAUGCCCUCGAUGCACAGGGCAGUGCAGUAACUUUUCCGGCUUAAAGCGUCUGCCACCACAUUGGCUUUACCCGGGUGGUAGUGAGUACUCAUGUCAUAGUCUUUGAUUAGUUCCAACCAUCUUCGUUGUCGAAGAUUUAGGUCCGGUUGGGUGAAGAUGUAUUUCAGACUCUUAUGGUCCGUAUAUACUUCGCAGCGGUUGCCAAUCAGAUAGUGCCUCUAGAUCUUCAAAGCAUGAACCACUGCUGCCAAUUCCAGGUCAUGAGUUGGAUAAUUCCCUUCGUGUGGACGCAACUGCCGCAAGGCAUACGCAACCACUCUGCCCUCUUGCAUUAGGACAUAUCCAAGUCCGUGACGGGACGCAUCGCAAUAGACUUGGAAGUCUUUCAUCUGGUCGGGCAGAAUCAAAACUGGUGCGGAUACUAAUUUCUUUUUGAGCUCCUCGAAACUCUUAUCGCACUCAGCUGUCCAUUUAAACUUCUCAUCUUUCUUAAGCAACUGAGUCAUGGGUCGGGCGAUUCUGGAGAAGUUUUCGAUGAAUCGGCGGUAAUAACCUGCCAGCCCUAGAAAACUUCGAAUCUGCGACACGGUCUUUGGUGGGGUCCAUUUGGUAACUGACUCUACGUUCGACGGAUCAACUGCCACACCCUGAGUUGUAAUGACAUGGCCCAGAAAUUUGACUUCCGUCAACCAGAAGUCACACUUGCUGAACUUGGCGUAUAGCUGGUGCUCCUUCAACUUCUCGAGUACCAAACGGAGAUGUUGCUCAUGUUCUUCUUCGGAUUUUGAGUAGAUAAGAAUGUCGUCGAUGAACACCACAACAAACUUGUCAAGAAAUUCCAUGAACACUUUGUUCAUCAGAUUCAUGAAGAAUGCGGGUGCGUUGGUAAGUCCGAAAGACAUAACCGUGCACUCAUAUAGCCCGUACCAAGUGGUGAAGGCCGUCUUCGGAAUAUCCUCUUCCCGAAUUCUCAACUGGUGGUAGCCUGAUCGCAGGUCUAUCUUAGAAAACACUUUAGCUCCUUUCAGUUGAUCAAAUAAAUCGUCGAUUCGCGGCAAGGGAUAUUUGUUCUUGAUUGUGACCUCGUUGAGGGCGCGAUAAUCAACGCACAUCCUCUUCGUCUUAUCCUUUUUCUCCACAAAAAUGACCGGAGCACCCCAAGGUGAAGUACUUGGUCGAAUGUACCCUUUCUGCAGCUGCUCAUCAACCUGCUUCUUGACCUCGGCUAAUUCGUUGGCCGCCAUUCUAUACGGUCUCUUGUAAAUUGGAGCGGUUCCCGGUGCCAAGUCAAUCCGGAAUUCAAUCUCUCUCUUGGGUGGCAUGGUAGUGAGGUCUUCGGGAAACACUUCUGGAUACUCGCAGACUAUGGGUAUAUCUUCCAAUUUCCUCAAGUUUUUCUCCACGGUGUCCACUGGGAUUUCCGUCUCAAUCUGAUUCAAAGAGACCCCUUGCUUUGGUGAGUCUGGUGAUUUGUACACCACGGUUUCUCCCUUCUCGUUGGUCAAGGUGACUGUGCGAUUCACACAAUCGAUGACUCCCUUAAACUUGGUCAGCCAAUCCAUCCCAAGAAUGACAUCUAGGUCUUUGGAUUCGAGAAGAAUGAGGUUGGCUAGAAAUGGUGAUCUUUGGAUUUCUAUUGUUAUAGAAGGGCUGAAUUGAACCGAAGUGGAGCUAUUCCCUGGGGUAUGAACCCGCAUUGGUGUGCUAAGUUCCUCUCUUAUUAACCCAUGCAUCCCGACAAAUUUCUUUGAAAUGAAAGAAUGCAUUGCACCAGAAUCAAAAAGUACUGUUGAAGGGAUUGAGUUAACAAGGAACGUACCCAGUACGACCUCUGGUGCUGCUUGUGCCUCCUCCGCAGAUGCGUGGUUAACACGAGCCUGGAUAAACCUUGGCCCGGCACGCCUAGGCUUCGGACAUUUGUCAGCGAAGUGGCCAAGCUCGCCACAGUUGAAGCAGGACCCUGGUUUUGCUCCAGUCUCCUUCUUGGCUUGCGCGGGCGGGCCUGAUUGUGCCGGUGCCAUUGGUGGGCGUGGAGCUGCACCGCGGUUGGACUGACCUCCAUGGUGGUUCUGACUGCCACUGGCGCCCUGGGGGAAGUUGCUAGGGUUGAACGGGCGGUGCUGGCGGACGAUCAUGGUGGUAGGUCCACCCUGCUGUCCGGGAGUGAAGCGCGGCCUCUGGUGACUUCCCUGAGGUGCCCUGAACUGUGCGGCCUUCCUCUUCCUGUCCAUCUUGUUGCGUUGAUCCUCCUGACGGAUUGCCUUGUCCACCAGCCUCUCAAAGUCAGCGUAGUCCCCAGAUAUCAGUUGGUUGGUCAGCUCGUCAUCCAGACCCGCCAUGAACUUUUCCUGCUUCUCGGCGUCGGUGCGGACAUCCUCUGGUGCAUAUCGCGCGAGGCGAUUGAACUUAUGGAGGUAUUCCGUCACAGUCCUGUUGCCCUGAUGGAGCGCCCGGAAUUCCCUCUUCUUUUGUGCCACGACCCCAUCUGGCACCUGCGCCUUCCUGAAGCUACGGCAGAACUCUGCCCAAGUGACUUCAGUACCUGGUGGGCGGGUGGCCAUGUGGUUAUCCCACCAAGCUAACGCAGGACCUUGAAGCUGGUGUGUGGCGAAAGCAACCUUCUCCUGAUCAUUGCACUGCAGGAGAUUCAGCUUCUUCUCUAUGGCAUGGAGCCAAUCAUUCGCCUCCAUAGGGUUGGUGGUGCUGGAGAAGGUGGGUGGCCUGACACGUAGGAACUCUGGCAACUUGGACUGAGGGGGAGGGGGACCAAACUGUUGAUGCUGCUGUUCGGCGUGCUGCAGCAUCCGCUGGUGCAUCUGCUGGUGCUGCUGCUGCAUCUGCUGCAUCAUGGCUGCCAUCAUCUGGGUCUGAUGUGCCAUUACUUGGGCUAGCGUCGGAUUCUCGGGAAGUGGUGGCGGACCAUUGCCAGAAUCGCUGUGGGGAUGCGCCCCAUCAGUGCGCUCUUCGCCGUUGCUGCCCUCGCCUGUCGCGCGGCUACCAUUCCUGGUGUAGACCAUCUGGAGGAAAAGCAUACGGGGAGAAGAAGAAAAACAGAUGCUCAGAAACUAAGCUUUAUUACAUAGGAACUUAAACUGCAAUUGUUCUGAUCUGAAUUAAAACACUUAAAGAGCAAGCAAAAAUCCUUAUUAAGACAGCCAUAUCAUAGGCACAUGAUAUCGACCGUCGACUAACCCCAAACAAGCAACCUAAACACACAAACUAACAAGCAGAAGCUAGACAGUCGAUAAACUAAUGGAAAACGAGCCUAAUGCUCGGAACGGCUCCUGCGGUCGGUGGAGUCGAAGGCGUCCUCCUGCUCGUCACCAGGUCCCUCUGAGCGACUCCCGGGGCCUGGCAGAUAAGUCUCGCCGCUGCCUGACUCUGAGCCACUAGAGCUGCUGCUGCUGAGAUCGCGGCUGCCACUGGGAGUAGCAGACAACCAACCUCCGGUGCCACUGGCUGGACCCCUGGCGGCUGAUGCUGGAGCGAAGGAGAGAGCGGACGCGGGAGCUGACAUGUGAACGGGAGCUGGGGCUGGUGCUGGAGCUGCAGGUGCUACGGGAGCUGCGGGCGGAGGUGGGUUCCUGGGCGCAAGCUGGAUGCGCACGGGUGCAGUCGUCGUCUUGCGGGGCGUCGUGCGGAUCCGGACUCCUCCUGGCGCAGGAAGACCCAUUAACUGAGCAUUCUCCCUCUUCAGGCGCGCUAUCUCGUCCUUCAGAGCGACGAUCCUCAUGAGCUUCCCAUCAUUCAAGGCCUUGGUCGCCUUGUGUAGGUCUGAGUGCAUCCUAUCCAAUCCCCUCAUCACAGCACACAUGUGACCAAAGGUGGUGUCGUUCUCGCCAGCUGUCGGACAGAAGGAACUGACAUCAUCACCGUUGGCUCGACGGGGGUGGAAGCGGUACGCCGUGUCGUGGAAGAUGUAGUUGUGGCGCUCCCGUAGUCUGGCCAUCACCAAGUAGGCUGCCUCCUGACAGGCGUGAUCUGCUGUGCCUCCUGACGCCUCAACCGCCAUGUUAGCGAGGCAAGUCCCCACGUAGCCAUGGACCUCCAAGCGGACACGGUGAGGAAGCUCGCCACUGAGCGGUGGAAGAGUCGUGUACUCCGGCGCGUUGGGGUAGCCCACCACCAGUGUCAUGCGUGCCAACUCUGCCACAAAGUCGAUCAUGCCUUCUCCGCGGUGGUUGGGUGGAUGGCCGGCCAUCUAGAGAAGACGAAGGAGUAGGAUCAAUGCAUGCUCAAAUCCAAAUUUAAAUAAAGCAAUAAAAGACUCAAACAAGGGAAUCGAAUAAGAGCGAAAUUUUUAUGCAUAGAUCAUUUUGCAUGAGAGCGAAUAAAUAAGACAGACUCACAUAACGAUAAAAUAAUGAGAAAUUAGAUACAUACUAAUAAUAACAAAUAAAGCAUAAAUACCUUGCAACCCAUGUUCCUGAGCUAGGACCUAAUGCAUUUCACCCAUCAAAUCCCAACUGACUGAUGAAUAAAUCCCAAUAGUUUUACUAAAACCCUAGGCUGACUCGUUUUGAAAAAUCUCACUUAAACGAGCGACCAAAAUUUUUCCCUUGAACCACAAGAACAGAACCCAAUUUUCCCGGAAUAAAAUCCAAUUGCAAAGAACAUAUGCAAUGAAAAGGAUUCAGAGGGCUCUUAGGUUUUUCCAUUUGGCUUGUCCUAUGGUCAAGGUCGGCUCUGAUACCAACUUGUCACGCCCAGAAAUUCCCGAAUAGAAUUUCAAGCAGAAUGUGCAUUAAAAUCCCCGUCCAGGACCGGCCGGGGUACACAAACGACAAUGUUGACAUUCAGAUCCACGUCUUACAAACAUCAUAAAAGUCUUACAUAAAUGCAGCGGAAGAAAAGAAAGACAACAAGAGCUAAGCCUUGACUAAAACUGCAGCGGGAACACCACUCCACAGGCAUCCUCGACGGCACGGACAAAGCCUACUCCUCGGAGAAACCUUCAUCUGACCCGAACUCGAACUCUGGGGUUGGGAAAAGUAGAGCAAG